rnacentral:rRNA from 1 species
AGGUGAGAUCAUACGAGCACUAAUGUACCGGAUCUUAUCAGAACUCCGCAGUUAAACGCGUUUGGGCGAUAGUAAUGUUAGCAUGGGUGACCUCCUGAGAAGUCCUCGUGUUGCACCUU